AUCGACGUUGCUCAGAGCGCUGUUUGUGAUGUUUUUAACCUGUGGUUUAAUCUGUGAUUCUGUAACCUCCCCUGGUGCAACUUAAGGCAGCGCUUUCAGCUCUCAUACUGACUCUAAUUCAGCAGGAUUUGGCUUACUAAGCUCCACUUUCCCCUCGAAAUGCCCUCAACACUUAGGGCUGGAAAGAGCAUCGCGUGGCCCUGGUUAUUAGCUGUGCCUUAGAGAUGCACAGAUGUUCCCAGCCAGCUCUGAAUAAAGCAAUCCAAUCUGCUGCUGGGGUUGGCAUUAGUGCCCGCACCACACUGCAAAGCAGCACAGGUAAAACAGCUGCUCACAGCUUUGCAUCACCACAGUCAUAUUUGUAUCCACAAAUGUUCCUAUGGGGUUUUAUGGGGGGAAAAGCAGUAAGUAAUUUGUCAGAAUUUAAGGUAAAAUAAAGAUAUGUUUGUCAGAAUUUAAAGUAUAGCAUCGUGCCAAUGCUGUCUAAUGCACUUAACACAAGAAGCAGGACGGACAAGCUAACAAACAAGCAUGGAAUCAUGGCAUCCCUGGGGUGCCACGCUCUGAAUGAAGCACAUUCAAUACCAAAGGCAGGAGCAGAGAAGACGGCAGGACAACACGAGAGAGGAACGAGCCGGAGCUGAGAGCAGCCGCUUUACCGCAACGUGGCGACCCCGAGGUGGCAUUGGAGGAGGAGGAAACGCAGAAGCCCUUACUUCAGAUGCUCCCAGGACUGUGGAAGAGCCAGCUUCCCUUGUUGCUUGUGGCUGCAUGGUUGGUGCCAGCACGUCCAAGGAUGAUCUCCAGCCUCCAGCUCACGAUGGUUCUGCACUGGGUGAUCUUGCUGCUGCUGUUGUCCUCUAGUGGACACAUUUUUCUCUCAGUUAUUUUCUCUCCUCAAGUUCAUGUUAUCAUCUUUCCCACCUUUUAGGUUCUCCUCCCAGUACUGCACAUCUCCUGGGUUAUUUUUGUUGGAGGCUCAGGGAGCUGACUGUUUUCCCUCUACUUCUUCUCCUGACUGUGCUCCACUAGGUUCUGAAUUUAAUUCCCUCAGCCCCCUCCCACACGCCUUCACUAGCAAGCAGAUGACAGUAUGGUAAAUUUCUGUUAUUUUCUAAGCCUCUAGGUCACAGAUAUUCCUCUGGGGAAUAAGAUCAGGGUCGUUUCUAAACAUCACAGUCAUUUAACCUUUGCAGAAGAGUUUGUUUUACCAAAAUAAUGAAAAUAAUUUAGGCUGACAGGUACAGAAGAUCUAAUAAUAGGUAUGUAAAACAGAAUAUUGCAACAAUUAUAAAUACAAAUAAAAAAUAUCCAUUUUCCCAUUGGAUUUAGGCGGAAUCAUUAUUUCUGGUUAAUAGGCCAAGUACAUUUGUUUAUUGAUGGUCCAGUUUUGAAUAAACUAAUAGCAAUCAAGGUUUGUGCCACACUUAGCAUCCUGCCAGUCCUGCUGACAGCUUAGAAAUGUCAAGACCUCAGGAGAUAUCAUGAAACAUUAUAUAUUGGAUAUAUAUGUAUCUUGAACAGCAUUUUAAAAAUUACAGUGAUACUUUAAAGCGAUACAGUUUAUCACCCUCUCUGUCUUUUUUCUCUUCAGUGUUGAUUACUGCCAUCAGCAGCACUGUGCCCGCCAGGGAGAUAACAUUCAAGUUGAAACUGGAUUUCUUGUUUAUAGUGGAGGAAAAAAAACCAACUUCAAAUACCAGACUUGCACGCAGAAAGUGCAGGGCACCACGGGUGCUGUGCCUGUUGGAAAGUGGAGAAGCAUCUCAUGACUUACAAGUAUGCUUUACAUCCUUUUGAAAUGUGGAAAAGCUCAUCUAGAUGAUGAUUAAAGAAAAUUUUAACUGUAGGAAUUUGCUCCAGGAUGCAAAGCUUUCCUCAUAGUGGGGAAGAGCAUAAAUCGCUGAGUUUUGCCUCUUGGUAAAUUGUUUGAUCAUUUGCUGUGCCAUAUGCUUGGUCAUAACAAUGUUAUUUCUGCCCAUGCCUUGGGCUCUUUCACAAAGAUCACUUCUUUCUUUUUCAGAGCAAACAAACAUUCAUGCUCAUCCGCUGUCCUUAGUGCUCUCUUGAUCAAAUAUGUCAAAUAAAAUAUCUUUUUCUGA